CCGCACGCAAGCGAAGAGCAACACAACACCACGGUGCCUUAAGACCAUAAGAAACCGCCACAGAGGUUGGGGGUAGAGAUCGUCUUCAAGGUUGCUAUCAUCUGGAAUUUUAUGUCCUUCAUUUUCUUUCGCUCUGUAUGCCUGUCACAUCAGCUUAACUGGGCAGUUGAUUCUACAACAGUCUGCAGAACAACGUUCAAAAGCUGACUGCAGAGCCACAACGCUUUUAAGGUGACAAAACCUCAGUUAGCGCCUGAGGAGUUCAGAAACAGAUUACCAUCAGUCUAGGAAAUGAGUGUAUUUUAGUACUGCCUAAUGUAACUCCUCAUGAGAA